CAGCGGUGUCCGCCCCUCUCGGCGAGGCGCCGGGCGCGCUUCUUUAAGCGGUCUGGGAGUCGGCCUAGGGCAGCCCCCGGACUGGGACACGGAGGAGAAGCAGACGGUGGCUGUCACAGGACUGCGCGGUGUCUCGAAGCUCUGGCAAAACAAGGCAAGAGUGAGCAAGAGUGGCGGCGGCUUCGACCUCGUGAAUGGAAUAGCGAGGUAAGAGCAGAGCUUUGAGAUGGAAUUGAAGGCAUUUUGGAGCUGGGCGAUCUGUGGGUGGUGGCUUGAGGAUCUCCCUGUUAGGAUGCGGUUCCCUUCAGGAGCUGAAGUGUCUCAGCCCCAGAACUGGAGAGAAGGAGCCUCCGUAGGGCUUGGGGACCAGGGCCGCCCUGUAAGUCGGGGCCAGUGCUCUGGAGUCCCAGGCACUUUGCAGUCCAGGCAGCGGCUUGAGCCCCCUAUAAGCAGGGGUACAGCCUCUAUGGCCGCUGCUUUGCACGCCCAGCUUCAUUUGCCCAGAGGGCCUGGCUCCCAGCACGGCGUGGGACUGCGCCGCACAUCGCGAUGAAACCGUGGGACGGCGCGGCAAGAGGGAGCAAGAGGAGCAGCGGCUUCGAGCUCAAGAGUAGAACGGAGAGGCAAGAGGGAGCAAGAGGAGCAGUGGCUUCGAGCUCAAGAGUAGAACGGAGAGGCAAGAGGGAGCAAGAGGAGCAGUGGCUUCGAGCUCAAGAGUGGAACGGCGAGGCAAGAGGGAGCUUGGAUCUGAAGAGGGGGCACGAGAGGCCCUCUGGGCAAAGGGCCUUCCUGGCAUGGCCAGGGCACUUUCUGGGUGCCGCGGGUGGCUUUGCGCUGGGCGACCUCCCUGGGAGCAGGGCUGGUCUUUGCUGUCGUAGGCCUUUUGCCGUUGUGCUCCUUUGGCUGCCCAGAGAGAGGGGCCACCCUGUAAGGAGGGUGAGAGCCCCUGUCUCCGCACCUGAGGGGGGAAACAGAGCUCUCCCGGCCCCCAGCCCACCCUCUAUGCAGGGCAGGGCCUUUUCCCCAGGCCCGGCAGCUGUCUGCCUGCCGCUGGCCCGCGGCCAGCGUGACCCCCUGUACUCGGGGCGCGUCACAGCCUUGGUCCCUCUGCCACCCCCGAGGCGCCUCAGCGUGUCGAGGCCCCUGUACCCUCCCCACAGUGCAGGGGCAGGUCUGAUGCUUUCCUCUCCCGCUCAGCGGUAG
rnacentral:lncRNA from 1 species